rnacentral:lncRNA from 1 species
ACCAGCACCAUUCCACGGUCCAAACUAAAUAAAUGAUUCUCAAAUUAUGUUCUUAAGGAAUUCUACUGCUUUGUAAGCUAAAAAUUGUAAUACAAAAUAAUAAUUAGUAAUAAGCAUAAACAUAUUGAGCACUUAGCAUGUGCUGAACACCAUUUUAAGUACUUUUCAUUUAUUGAUUUAUUUAAACCCUCCCAAAAGCUAUUAGAUAAGUAGUUAUCAUCCCCUCUUUCCAGUUCAGGAAGUUGAAGCACAGAAAGGUUAAAUAUCUUGUCCCAAUUCACACAUUUAGCAAGUGAUGGUCCAUAGAAACAUUCUGACAAAUCAGGAAAUAGGGGUUUAGGAGUGUCGGUGAUGCAAACGAGGGAAUUCAUGGGGUGGGGAUUAAGGGUUGUUAGGGGGAUGUGGCAGUAGUGCCUCCUUCACUCCCACACCUGGUGUCGUCUCCUGAAGAGGGACAGACUGGAACAUUCUAGAACAAGUGGGUGAGUCCUCUACCGUGUCUGUUUACUGUUAAGAGGAAAUGUCUAUCUUAUCGGAAACUCACUAAUAUUGACCUCAAAGAGGUCACAUUACUGAGGAUCUUGGCAUCAUUGUCAUCUGACACAAAUGAUGGCCAAGCCCUUCAUGCCAAACCUGUCUGCUCUAGCCACACGAUGCAGGUAGGUGUCAGGAUCCUCGGGCAUGUCGUAGUUAAAGGCAAUGUUCACCCUCGAGAUGUUUAUGCCUCAGCUGAAUAGGUUGGGAGCCACAAGAAUUCACUGCUGAAAAUCUUUAAACUGCUGAUACGGAGGAACCAAGAUUCAACUCCCUGUUCAGUUCAGGCUGGUUAAGAUGACCUAUUCACCAGCUGGGCCUGUGCAGAUGACCACUCGGUGAUCCUUUGACAUCAAACAGCCAAAAACUCCACCCUCAGAUCAUGGUGACAUUGCCAUUUUGUGAACAGGUGCCCUGCGAAGAGCCGUGAAGCUUGACUACGCUCGCAAAGAUCAUCAAUUACCUCACUUCUCCUUACCUCCAAUCAUGUAUUCCCACACUUCAGACGGCCCUGCCCUUUAUCUCGUAAAUCUCCCUAAUCCUCAAUUUUGGGGGAGGUGGAUUUGAGAUUGCUUCUCUUGUCUCCUUGCUUGGAUGCCUUGUGAUUAAAUCCUUUCUCAUUGCAAAUUCAUCAUCUUGGUGAUUGGUAUAUUUGUGCAGCCGGCAAAACAAACCUGAUUUGGUCACAAGAGUGUACUGAUUAUCACUGGGUUUGCUCUCUGGCCUAGCCGCACAGACUUCUGCCUAAAGCCUUAAGGAUUUUCUGUGAAUACAAAUGGAAAGGGCGGUCUCAUUAAAAACUUUUGGAGACACUGGGACUUAGGUAUGCCAAAGUAUGACAAAAAGACAGGGGAAAGGAAUUCUUCCCGGUUCAGAAAAGUGCUCCAGAAAAGCCAAUGCAACUUU